UACGUAGGUGGCAAGCGUUGUCCGGAUUUACUGGGCGUAAAGAGCGCGCAGGCGGUCAGAUAAGUCGAAUGUGAAAGCCCCCGGCUCAACUGGGGAGGGUCACGCGAUACUGAUCGACUGGAAGGCAGGAGAGGGUAGUGGAAUUCCCGGUGUAGUGGUGAAAUGCGUAGAUAUCGGGAGGAACACCAGUGGCGAAGGCGACUACCUGGCCUGUUCUUGACGCUGAGGCGCGAAAGCUAGGGGAGCAAACGGG
rnacentral:rRNA from 1 species